rnacentral:lncRNA from 1 species
GUCUGGCAAGCAAUGGAAAUGAUGGUCCCUCCCAAUGAAGGGCUGAGGGUGAAAAUCUUCAAAUAUUCUCAUUUUCUUUUUUAAAAAUGUUCUAUUGACAUGCAGUUGAUUUACAGUGUUUCAGGUAUACAGCAAAAUGAUUCAGUUCUGCAGACAUAGAUCUGUUCUUUUUCAGGUUCGUUUCCAUUAUCAGCUAUUGCAAGAAUACAAUAUUAUACGGUAGGACCUUGCAGUUUAUCCAUAAACAUUUUCAUUUUUUAAAGCCCCUUAGACCACUCAGCUUUAUACCAAAAGUAGGCAAGCCAGGGCUUUUAUGAUUAUUAUUUUAAGUGGGAACACAAGCGGCUUAGCAAAGCAAAAGUGAUUCAUUGAAGGAAGCCUAUACGGCUUUGACUCAUGAUGUUCUAUCUGUGGCUGUGGGGUAACGGAGGCAGUCCUGCAUUUGGGGUCAGAAGAUAGGGGUUGCGUGAUCUUGCGCAGGUCACUUCUCCUGGCUGAGCCUGUAUCCUCCUGUGCAGUCCUGCACAGUCUCCAGGGAGAGGUGGUGACGCGCUUAUGACAGCGUGUGUAUCAGAGGGACAGGUAGUGCGUCCCGUGGCAACUGGCCAGACCCUUUCCUCAUGCCGUCGUUGCGCCCCUUUCACUUGUGAUGAUUUCCCGCUUCCUUCACUGUCUCCUGAUCAGCUCCCCGACCUGGCCACUGUAGUCAGUUCUCCAUGAGUGUUUUUCUAACGAAGGAGCAAACAAAUGAAAGGAUGCCUCCAAAUAGCACGAUGCCGACUUUGGCUUUCGUUUUAUAAAAUACAGAUAACACGUGAAUUGCAAUGCAAAGAUCCCAUUUUCCAAGCCUCUGGUCAUAGCCAGACACCCAAAGAUGGUCAGAAGUGGCCCAAAGUACUGAACCUUCUUUCAUUCCUGCUCCUUUGGCACACGGAGCUCUGCCCCUAAUGAGCUUUGCAUGUUCCCCAAGCAUUUCCCCAGGGCUCACUUCACCACGUCCCUCCAGGCGCACCAGGUAUAAUUGAGUCAGGCAGCUGAGCUCCCAGAGCUGGCUGGGACCUCACGUCCCCCACCCCCCACCUCUGCACCGUCUCACACAGGGAACUGGGAACUGAAGCCAGGGACGGAGAAGGGACUUGCUGCAGGCCCUUUGGAACCUGGUCAACAAGCCAAGGCGAUAGCUUACACUGAUAGUUUGCCCAGAGGCUUUCAGCCGGGCCGAGUUCCUGCCCAGGCACGAGCUGAGAGCAGGGCUGCCAGAGGUCCUGGAUCGCCGGAGAGCAGAAGUUUGGCUCCCAAAUGGGGGAUUGUACAAAAGAUGCAAGUCGCAUGCAGAAUUCCGAUGACUUCAGUAAACAUGUACGGAGCAUCUGUCACGAGCUGGGCGCUGGCUUUUUAAGGUAAAACAUGGGAGGGUCACAACAAUUCCUUAUUUAGGGCAGUCACUCUAGGUGCCCACACUCGGGUUUGUGUCCACUCUCCUAGGGGGCAGGGAUCCAGGCAGUGCGCCCGUCCUUUCUGUCCUGGGGGCGUCCUGCUCUGGUCUCCAGACUUGUCGUCCAAGAGCCACCCUUCCCCUUCCUGAGACUGGCCCUGCUGUGCCACCUCCCCUUCUGCUCCAUGGCAUCCAGGGCUUCCUUCUGCCCCCAGGGAUGGUGGAGGAGGAGGACAGCUGUGAAGGAGAGCGUCACGACACUGUGACCCUGGGGACAGGGACGGGCCAGCCGCUGCCCUUCCUUCAGCCUGGCAGUUGCCCAGGGCUUUGACAGAGAGGUUCCCCUUCACCCCACUGUUCUGUGCCCUCCAGAGACGGUGGCCCAGGACCGAGCGGCAGCCGGGCACCCUGUGCAUCAGUGGGCUCCUGAGGAAGGCAGGGAAGCAGAGCCACACAAGCCGGGUGUCCUGACGGAGAAGAAAACAGAAAAUUCCAGGAGAGGAAGUGGUUGCAGGUGCAGGGCCAAGGAAGAGGAAGUGUCUGGGGCGCUCUUCUCGGCCUGGCUGCUUCGAAUCUCGAUAUGUCUCAAGGCUGGAAGUCUGGCCAAGCUGGAAGGGGCCUCGGUGACCAUACAGUGGACUCCCUUACGUCACUGGGGAAUCCAGGGCCCAGAGAGGGGAGGGAGCCGCCCCAAGGUGCACAGCUGCAUAGAGCUGAGCAGGGCAGACUCACUGAGCACGUCUGGGGGCCGCUGUCCUCUCCCCCCCAACACCCCGACCCAGCGCACCCCCUGCCCAGUCUGCUCUCGGGCACUGACAGACAGGCAGCUUCCCUGAUGGAUGGCAUGCUCAAGUUUAAACCUUGUCGGUCCUGAUCCAAAAAUAGGUCCAGCCGUGCGACUGCUGUCAGAUUUCAACGGCAGCUCCACUUCUCCUGGAUUCUGACCACAGCCCGGGAGGAUGCGGCUGGGGAUGUGACCAGCCUCUGAUGGUCCCCAGUCAGGGAGGCCCAAGACACACCCAGAGCAAGCUUCGGAGGCCUUGCGGGAUGAGACGGCCGGAGCAGGGCAAGCUGCACUGCACCUACAGGCCGCACUGCAGAAGGCUGCUCACACCGGCAGCUUCCCCAGAGCAGCUGGACACACCUUAAAGCCCAUCCCCCCUGCUCAAUAUCGUGUAACAAGCAUCCAUCUGCUUCUGAGGUGUGACGGGCACAAGUAGCACAGCAAAAGAAAAGUGAAAAAUCCCAGGACUUCAUUCCGGCUGUGCUGUGUGACCUUGGGCCAGUCCCUUUACCUCUCUGGGCCUCCUUUUCCUCAUUCGUGACACGAAAGCAAUGGAAGCAUGGUCGGCAUAAGCCCUCAGAUCUUGCUCACUCCCCUUUGGUCAGGGACUCUCUCCUUACCUGGCUUCUGUGGCUUUGACCUCAGAGUUUUUAAUCACAGGAAUCUUCGCCCCCAGAGUAUCGAGUGGAAGAAUGAGUCCUCUUUACAGAGAGGAAGGCCAUUCUGUAAGAAGUUCCUUUCUUUUACUUUCUCCCGUCGUGCUUCCUAGGGAACAUGCAGGUCUUGAUGUCACCGAGCUAACCAGAAUUAGGCCAACUUUCUCUGUGGGUGAAAAAAAAAAUGAGGUUUUUUUUUGUUUGUUUGUUGGUUUGGUCUCUUUAGAGCCACAUCCACAGCAUAUGGAGUUUCCCAGGCUAGGGGUCAAAUUGGGAGCUACAGCCACUGGCCUAUACCACAGCCACAGCAAUGCUGGAUCCGAGCCGUGUCUGUGACCUACACCACAACUCACGGCAACACCACCCACUGAACGAGGCUGGGGAUGGAACCUCGCCUCCUCAUGGAUACUAGUUGGGUUUGUUCACCACUGCGCCACGACAGGAACUCCAAAAAAUUAGUUUUUAAUGCAUAUCAAGGGCCUCCGUAAAGAAACCACUUGUUUUGGGUUUUGGUUUUUUUAGGGGGUUGGAGGCAAGCCUGAAGCAUGCAGAAGUUCUGGAGCCAGGGACCGAACCCAUGCCCCAGAGGCGACCCUAGCCACAGCAGUGACAACGCUGGAUCCUUAGCCUGCUGUGCCACCAGGGAACUCCACCACUUGGAUUUUUGAUCCUGAGGUCAUUCCAUAUCUAAUUCUAUGUGAAACUCAGAAACUCUUUCUGGUACCCAAGCUCUAAGCCCACACUUUGACCAUGUACAUUUAUUCUUGAGUUGGAAAGAAAGGGGCGGGGAUGGGGGUCUUUUCUCCUGUCACAUAAGGCUUCCCUGCGCCCAGGUGCACCUCGCGCUGCCAUAGGCAGACCCCCACACAGGGCACAGCCUGUGCGACUGUCCAUGGCGCCUCAGGUUGUCAGAGUGGCCUGUCUCGUGCUUCCUCAAACAAAAGUCUAGCUUCUCUUUUCUUGUGCCUUAGCCCUGACAGCUAAGUGGGAAUUCCGUCUCAGGAAACCUGAACGGGAACCUUUAAGAUUGGAUUUCGUUGUAUAAAACCAAGAGGUUCCUUUGGUAUGCGUCACCAUCCUGUGCCACCGUCCCAGUGCCUGAAGCAGAAGAGAAGUGGGCUUUGCGAAGCACCCAAUUCGGGCAGCUCUUUCUGGGGUACCUGGGCUUGCCUGGGCCCGAGCCCUCUCACCCCUCUUUCCUUCUACCUCUAUCCUGGGCCCCCUUUAUCAGUUAGCUCUUGUUACGAAAUUGCGGGGUAGCAACCAACCAGGACACCUCAGGGAUAUACUCAAGGCCCCUUGGAGCCUGGGCUCAGAGCUGGCACUUGGCAUUUCUGCCUCAUGCUACCUUCCAAAGUUUGCCCGUAGAGCAGGGGGAUAUUGUGAUUUAAGAGGAGGCACUCCAGGGAAUUCCUGCUGUGGUGCAGUGGGUUAAGAAUCCAAUUGUAGAGGCGCGGGUUCAAUCCCUGGCCUGGCACAGUGGGUUAAGGGAUCUGGUGUUGUAAGAGCUGCAGCUCAGAUCCCAUCCCUGGCCCGGGAAGUUCCACACGCUUCGGGUUUGGCCAUUAAAAAAGGAGGGGGGCUCCAGAGUUACGCGGCAGAUGGGCCAUGGACAGAGGUAAAGAAUGGGGGCCGUUUCUGACCAUAACCUACCCCCCCGCUCCCAAUUCUCCUGUACCCUGUGUGGUCAUCAGACCCUUCCUCCUGUGUCUUCAGCUGCUCCGUCUCUUAUUUGAUCAGACCCCAUGCCAAAAUACAUUUAGAGCUUUCCUGUCCUAAGACCAAGGCAUUAUGUAGCCUCCGAAGCACUUACCACCCUCCCUCCAUUCUUUGGGAAAUGUAUCCAGAAGGAAAGAAUAUAAAAGAAGAACGUGCGUACGUAAUAUAACAAGAAUAGAAAGAAUAGAACGAUGCUGUUCAUAACAGUGAAGCUGGAGGCAAAGGAAACCUCAAAGGAGGAGGAAGCGUUUGGCAAAGGGCUGCACAUAGUGGAUGGAUAGAUCCUGCUGUAGGGCACUGGAAACUCUAUCUCGUCACUUAUGAUGGAGCGUGAGAAUGUGAGAAAAAAUGAGUGUGUACAGGGAUGUGUGGCUGGGUCACCUUGCUGUACAGGAGAAUAUUGACAGAACACUGUAAACCAGCUGUAACGGGAAACAUAAAAAUCAUUAUAAACAUUAAAAAAAAAAAAGAAAAAAGAAAAUUCAGACCACACAUACAAAACCUCUGUUAACCAUACCAUGUGAAACUGAUGAAAUCUGAGUAAGGUCUGUGGAUUGGACCCAUGCCAGCAUCUGGGGUUUGAUAUUAUAUUAUAUUUACGUGAGACAUUAUUAUUGGGGGAAACUAGCUGAAGGGCACAUGGGACCUUUCUGCUCUAUUUUUUUCAACCUCCCAUGAAUUUAUAAUCAUUUCAAAAUAAGUUGUUUUUUUUUUAAAAAGUCCCAAACCUGACAUAGAAAAAAAUUAAAACCCUGAAAAAUAAAAAAAUUAAAAUCUUGAAAAAAGGGGCUCUAUUAUGUGAUUGAAAUAGAGGGGAUUUCCCUCCUUUUUUUUCCUGAAUUUUUCCAUGUUCAUUAUAAUGUAAGGGAAAUAUUUUUAAGAAAAAAAUCCUAGAUUCCUCCAGGGCCAUUUCUUCUGGGCCUGCGUGCCUCUUCCUCAGGCACAUGGCUGGUGGCUGGCAUGGCCCCCUGUGACUCUCUUACUUACCCUGGCCACCUGCCUCUAGACAGCAUGCUCCCUGAGGCAGGGGCUGGGUCUGGUCACCUGUGUCCUCUCUCUCCCCUUCAAGUGCCCAGGCCAGGGCUUCAUACACACGUAUCAACAUUCAACAAAUGUGUUGAAUCCAAAACUCUCCUGGAUCCCGGGGAUCCAGAACCAAAUUCAAGGCACGUGGAUGAGCACUUACCAUCAAAGGGCUCACAGUCUCCAGACAGGUGUGCGUUUACAGUCCACCAGCAAAGCUCCAGGCGGGGUGGACAGAGGAUAGUGGGUGCCUAGAGGAAGGGCUGGCUGUGCCUCAGGUUGCAGGGAGGUCUUCACGGUGACUCUUGGGCUGGGCCAUCGAGUGGGGAGGAAGUAGUUACAGGCAGCUCAGAAGUAUAUUUUCCAGAUAAAAAGACCCCUUGGACGAGGACUUAGGGAAGUAGAAAGGCCCAAGGAUGCACAGGCAUUUUGAACUCUCCUUUUCAUCCUGAGAUAUUUCAAUUAGAACGAUUCCUUUCUUUUUUUUUUUUUUUCAUUUUUAUGGCUGCACCUGCAACAUAUGGAAGUUCCCAGGCUAGGGGUUGAAUCAGAGGUGCAGCUGUGACCUACACUGCAACCUGAAGCAACACUGGAUCUUUUUUUUCUUUUCUUUUCUUUCUUUCUUAUUUUUUUAUUUUAUUUUUUUUAUGCUUUUUAGGGCUGCACUCACAGCACAUGGAGGUUCCCAGGCUAGGGGUCAAAUUGGAGCUAUAGCUGCUGGCCUACCCCACAGCCACAGCAACGCCAGAUCUG